GACGAACGCUGGCGGCGUGCUUAACACAUGCAAGUCGAGCGGUAAGGCCCUUUCGGGGGUACGACGAGCGGCGAACGGGUGAGUAACACGUGGGUGACCUGCCCUCAGCUCUGGGAUAAGCCUGGGAAACCGGGUCUAAUACUGGAUAUGACUCCAUGACGCAUGUUGUGGGGUGGAAAGCCUUGUGCGGCUGAGGAUGGGCCCGCGGCCUAUCAGCUUGUUGGUGGGGUGANGGCCUACCAAGGCGACGACGGGUAGCCGGCCUGAGAGGGCGACCGG
rnacentral:rRNA from 1 species